GGGACAGGGUAAGUUGAGCAUAGGGACAGGGUACGUUGAGCAUAGGGACAGGGUAAGUUGAGCAUAGGGACAGGGUAAGUAGAGCAUAGGGACAGGGUAAGUUGAGCAUAGAGACAGGGUAAGUAGAGCAUAGGGACAGGGUAAGUAGAGCAUAGGGACAGGGUAAGUAGAGCAUAGGGACAGGGUAAGUAGAGCAUAGGGACAGGGUAAGGAGAGCAUAGGGACAGGGUAAGGAGAGCAUAGGGACAGGGUAAAGAGAGCAUAGGGACAGGGUAGGUUGAGCCAACUUGGGGUAAGUGGGUGAUUGUGUCCUGUGACAGUGGGGGCUGGUGCAUGUUCUCAGAGCGUAAGACAUUAAUGUUCUAGACACAUUUCAUGGGAAUGUUGCAAGAACAUUCAUGUGUCCAGGUUCCUAAGGGUUAGGAGAAUGUUCCGCCCGUCCAAACAUACUGUAUACAGAAGAUGGUUGCCAUGUUCUCAGAACAUAAGAUAGUAAUGUUCUAGUAACGUUUCAUGGGAACAUUGCAAAAACAGUGUGUAAAAAAAAAAAUCCAUUACACAUCCUGUUGCUGAGCCAAUCAAGGCCCUGAUCAGUGAACCACUGAGAGCUCUUUGUCUGUUGGCAGAGUUGGGUAUACUCUCACACACAGUGAAUAAUUGAACUUGCAAAGUGUAAUCAUGUGUGUCAAAUAUGUAAGUUAUAAGCACUAACUCUUAUUCAACAUGUCCUCACCUGGGAUUUGAACUCACAACCUCUUGGUCUACAGUACUCCAAUCUUCCUGCUCUCAAUAGUUAGAUGAAUGGAUAUCAGGCAGGGACAUGGUGGCCAUGUCCGUGUCAGAUAUCCAUUAAUCUGAAGAUUGUGUCAUCAUUGAUUUGAUUGACUUAUUUCACAGCAAUUUAAGGACUUUGUGUAUAGGUGUCUAAUGUUGGUGGGGCAUAUAAACCUGUUUUACUGAUACUCCUGAAUCACUAUUAUCAAUAAAAUACUUUUAACAGAGCUGGAAUUUAGUUUGAAAGUGCAUUCACCCUACUACUUACACCCAUCAAGUUGUUUCAGAUCUACACAAGUGUGUAGGGAAGAGAGGUUAGGGUUUCUUCUGGACAGGACCUAACUGUACUAGACUAUAGACUAGACUAUAGACUAACUAUACAUGCCCUAGAGAUAACCCUUAUUGGGAAAGUGGUUAGGGUGUUUGUCAUUAAUGAUGCUGGCCUGGGCUUGAGACCUGCUAAGGGAGUCAUCCUACGCUCACGUUCUCAGCACUAUAUGUUAAUGACAGUUACAACACACUUAUCUGUUCUAAUUCAAAUGAGUUUGAAAGAUGGGAAUCUGUAGGAUUACCUUUGAGCACUAAAUGAUGACCAUAUUUCCACUACCUCUCAUAUGUUAUCAGUAUUUAUUCAUUCUAUACAGCUACCUAGAUUAAAUAAAGGUUCAAUGAAAUCAAUUGUUUUCUUGAAAUCCACACCGUUCAAAAAUUGGAUUUAGCAGCUGCAGAUUGCAGAUUAACAUAUUGUGAUGUCUGCUUUGUCCCAAGUGAUUCUGUUGCAAUCUGUCUGUUUUUCCACAUUAAAACUUGGAGA
ensembl:lncRNA